UACGUAGGGUGCGAGCGUUGUCCGGAAUUAUUGGGCGUAAAGAGCUCGUAGGCGGUUUGUCGCGUCUGCCGUGAAAGUCCGGGGCUCAACUCCGGAUCUGCGGUGGGUACGGGCAGACUAGAGUGAUGUAGGGGUGACUGGAAUUCCUGGUGUAGCGGUGAAAUGCGCAGAUAUCAGGAGGAACACCGAUGGCGAAGGCAGGUCUCUGGGCAUUAACUGACGCUGAGGAGCGAAAGCAUGGGGAGCGAGCAGG
rnacentral:rRNA from 1 species